rnacentral:misc_RNA from 1 species
UCCAACAAUAAUUGUGUUUGCUCGCAAACGAAAACAAACCGACUUCAAUUACAUCGACAAGUAAUACAACGUAGAUCGACGAAAAAUAGUCAAGCAACUACGCGUUAUCAACGAUUACUCAAAAAGUAGUUAUCAGAUCUCAAUAAAAUAUAUAUAUGUGACCACAUGAUAAACAUCAGCUUUCGAUUAAAUUAAAAAUUAUCAAAAUCGGUACACCCAGUAAAAAGUUAUUGCGGAUUUUCGAGAGUUUCCCUCGAUUUAUCUGAGAUCCCAUCAUCAGAUCCUGGUUUCCUUAUCAUGGUACCAAACUAGGGAUACCCCCUUUCCAACAAAAAAAGAAUUAUCAAAAUCGGUACAUCCAGUAGAAAGUUAUGCGGUAUAAUACAACGUAGGUCGACGAAAAAAGCGUCAAGUAAAAACGCAUUAUUAGAUAUAAUUCGAAAAGUAGUUGUUAGUUCUCAAAUAAAUUUAAAU